rnacentral:piRNA from 1 species
CUUAUGCUACUCGAUCAUUCA